ACAAGAGCACCAGUGGUCUAGUGGUAGAAUAGUACCCUGCCACGGUACAGACCCGGGUUCGAUUCCCGGCUGGUGCAAUUCGUGAAGGAGCAAUGAUGAUAAUGUUUGUGGUGUUGGGUAACAUCACCUAUCCUCAAAUAAUGGAUGACAUAUACACCCCUGAGCUCCUUCUUUGUUUUUUUUUAUUUUUUUUUUAUUUUGACAAAUAGAAGCCAUAUUUUUCUGGUAUAGAAGGCAUAUUAAGAGUAACAACAAAACUAAUGGAUUUUCACUGAUUAAUCCCUACAUUUGUCCUUAAUAUUCAUUCUUUUAUUAAUCCUUUUUUGUGGUAGCGUGUACAUUGAUAUUUGAAAACCAUAUACAAUAAAAGAGGUACAACAGAUCUUACAAAGCAUUGUCUACACUAGAUUACACUCUGUCACUAUUUUUCUUCCAUUGUCUUUCUCCUUCGUUUUUCCACUAUCAGAGUCCUACCCUUCCCAUCUAUUUGAAAAGGUGGAAGGACCGAGCCCCGACAAGGUGAGGUAAACAGCUGAAUCACAUUGUGUCGAUCUCCACUCAGUGGAAUGGACGUCACAUUCUGACACUCGGUUUUAUCUCAAGAACCAUGGAAACAACAAUGAUGGGAAAAGACAGAAUCAAUUGGAAUUGAGGUUGAUUAAGAGAUCACUAUCAAGAAGAAUCAUUAGCCUCCUUUUAGGCCGCACCGCCCCAUGACUGCUGCGAAGACAUUUUAUUAGAGUAACAUAACAAGAAAACAAGUUGCACAUAAAAAUCACCUAUGCACGUUGCAUCAUAAAUAUCACUGUUUUUCAAACAUAGUCUUUCACAUAACUUUCAGAGUUUUAUACACAAUCGAUGAUUGUACGCCAAUCCACAAGUUAAAUCCAUUACAACCAAACAUCAGAGGCAAAUAUAAAGAAUAUAUUAUCGUUGUUUUUGGUAAAUAUAAAUGAAUAAAGGAUUCGUAGAAAAGUGGUGCCAACUAAAUUGAAAAUCAAUCUAGGUUUCAUUUUAAGGAAUAAACGAACUUGAACUAUAUAGAAACAUAAUUACAUAAUUGUUAGAAGUCGCUAUCUUUCAGAACCUAAACAUAAAUAAUCAUAAACUACUACUACAAAGGGGUUUACAAUCCAAACACUUACAACAACAGGUAAAGUGUCACUUUAUCCAUGCUAUUGUCACCUACAUGUCUUCAUUGUCUUGAUUUUGAUUGUCUUCACUUUAUGAGUUAUAUAGUCACAAUGGUGAAGGCUGGACAAAAGACUUUGACGGGCAGGAAGCAUUGAAGGCGUCUGAGGGUAUUCAAGUCAUUUAAAACCAAUUUACAAUACCCUUAUAGAUAUUACAGUGACUGAAUUCAUCAAUUUAACUCCUUGCAUGUUCGGGAAUGAGACGUUGACGCAAAUCUUCAGGUGCAUUUACGAGUUCUGCAUUAUUUUAUUUUUAUAUAAGCAACAUGUAAUAACAUAUAACUAAAAAUGGAAACUUCACCGCCACUACCAUCUUACCUUGCGGUGUGAAGUUGAACAAAGGAGGUAGUGGUUGUCCAUUUGGCAAGCUUGCAUUUGGGUCUCGCAGAUCGUUGAAAAACGGAUGUGCACAUGCAGCUAACUGUAAACAGACACGAUUAGGACAAUAAACCAGAUUUAUAUUUAGAGACAGGUAGCAUUUCUAUAUCAAAUAAACUUACAGCAGUGCAACGUAGAUGUGGUGAAUACUGAAGCAACCUUGAAACUAAAUCCACUGCUUCAGAUGGCAUUCUCUUGUGAAAAAGCUGGAAACCACUAGUUUAGUCAGAUGUGAACAUAAGAAUAUAUGAUUUAUGGAUUACAUGCAAACUUAGGGGGAAAGAACUGCUAACCUUGUGCCACGGGUGCGCUUUAAUCUGAGGGAACUUAAAUUCAUUGUAGUUUGGAUUCAUGCACCUUAUUUCUUCUCUUGUUGGCGUUCCCAAUACCUAAAGUACAUAAUAAAAGCUCAGAUUCAAGGAAAAAGCGGAGACAGAAUGCAACUUUAAGAAAAAAAGCUCAAAAAGCAAAGGGAAGCAGAAAAUGAAAGAACACAAAAAAAUUACCUUGAUAAUCUCCACUAGCUGAUCAACCCCACUCUCUCCAGGAAACAUUGCCUGCAAAUAAUAAACAAUAGAUCAGUAUCAAUCUAAAAGUAUGCCUUUUAUUCUCAUAGACCUAGUGUCUGUUAAGAUUGAUUUAUUUGAGAUUAUCUACUAAUAUACGAACUUGUGGACACUGUUUGGCAGAGCUUACGGUCCACGAUAACUUAUGAAAAAAGCUUGUAGCCAAUAUAAAACAGUUUGACUUUAUGUUAUCUUUUGUUAUAGAAAAACAUAUGCACAAGCACUUAUAUGUCUUAUAUGAUAAGUGUUUAUGCCAAAAGUGCUUAAUUAAGUUGUUUAUCCAAACAAAACCUUAGUAAGGAAUAGUCUCAUUUGUAGCAAAAUGCUUAAAUGGAUAUUUAAAACAACCACCAAGUUACAAAUAUAAAACAAUGUCAUUGUACUCUGUCAUGAACCAAAUCCUCAAAAGGUCGACCUUAGAGAGAGAUGGAGAGAUGAAUAAGAAACAAAAAACAAAAAAAAAAAAAAAAAAAAAAAAAA
rnacentral:tRNA from 1 species